AACUUCAAGGAAAAUGAAGACACAUGCAGGUCUGGUCAUCUGCAAUAUCAGGGUCUCCGAUUAUAACUGAGCGGUCACAUCCGCUCCCCGACGGUGCUAGUCAUCUCUCUCUGAGACUCUCAGGAGCCAUGCCAGCCAUUGUCUCUUUUCAAGUCCUCAAUGCAAUUGGUAGCAAGUUCUGUCAUCAGUGACUGCUGCUAACAUGAAGAGUGAUGGUCGGCCGUGGGUUGGCUGAAGUCCACAGAGGACUCUGCACCAAGCUAGGCUUGGCUCAUUGUCAUAGGCUGGCCUCCGACUGGCUCAGUCUGGGCUUAUUUUGGGGCUCAGGCUGAAUGAGCAGUAACUACUCAGGGGAAAACUCCCCUCAUGGCAUUGACUUUAGUGCUGGGAGCUAGCGGAAACUCAUAGGCAUCUUAUAUUUGAAGCUUGAAACUGGCUCACUGUUGCGUGAGCCCAUAUUCUGUGGGCCAAAGCGAGUCACACAGAGGAGGCCACCGUCAAAGGACAGACAAGUGCUUACCCCUUUUGAGUUAGGGACUGUAAAGUUCCACGGCAGAAGGCAGGGCCUCCCGGAAGAGUGAAGACUUGGAGUUGUUGAAUCAGUCUACCGGACAUGGUCCACAAUAACGGGACACCACAUUCAUCUUCCCUGGAGGACUCACUGAUAGGCAGUUGACUACUGUCUUCUUGUUGAUUGGAGUGAUCAACUUAAAGAUGUUAAAGAUGCCCUGGACUGAGUUAGAAGAGCACCAGGAGUCCUUGAAGGGGUUAGACGAGAACUGAGACACAGAACAUUCAUCCUUACACAAGCUUAGAGUAUAACAGCUCUCAGCUAUUUUUUUCUUUCCUCUUUCUGAGAAAAUGCAAAAAGUGCUUUUCUUCACACCAUUGGACAAAUUACCCCAGGAUAAAUUGAAUCGUGUUUACAGUCUAGUGGUUUUAUGCAAUCAAUUUUUUUAAAGCUGAGUUUAAAACUGGAACACUUCAAUAAUAUCAAAAACCUAAGUAGUUUUAGGAGAUCUCCUCCCAGUGGCAUGGGAAAAGAGCAGUGUAACUAAAACUGGAAGUUCUGGUCCAAGUUCAGGCUCUGCUUUUUAUCAACAAUGUGGCCUUGAACAAGUUGCUUGUACUCUCCUUGGAUGUGAUAAUCGUACCUCCUCGGUAUGUCUGUUUGUUUUGUGAAAGUCAAUGACACACGUGAGUGUGCUUUAUAAAUUCUAAAAUGUUAACAAAUGUUGAGUUAUGAUUUUGAUGAUUCUUGUUCUCCUCUCCAUAAAUUGCUCAACAGUCUCACCAAUGAGCAAUCCUCUUUAUAAGGUUUAUUGUAUCGACAGUAGCUGAAUGAUGGGAAAAGGAGGACAAAAGGGGGCUGUCAAAUGAGACAAAGGGAACAGUGAGGGCACAGGAAGAAAGCCUGGCAUAUGGUGAGGUGGAGGAGGGGCGAGGUAUGGAGGACACUGGUCAGAGGAAGAAACACACACACACACACACACACACACACACACACACAUACAUUCAACUGUGCUUCUGCAGAAGUAGCUCUUACAUAAAAAAAGAUGGAUAGGAGGGUCGAAAUGUCUCUUCAUGAUCUUCUGUUGCCAGUUCUUGCCUUAUAAAACCAGUUGUCUAUUUUGGAUUGGCAGCUGUAGCCAUGACUAUUUAAUCAUAUUUAAUCUCUGUCUCAUUUUUUUCGAUGAAAAAAUGCCUUAAAAUGAUAUUUUUUAGAGCUGUUCUUAGGCCUUUAUAAAUAGACUGGUUCUCGUGUGCACCAAAUGCAGAGUUUCUAAUAAGGUGUGUAAGCAGUUCUGGAAACAGCCUCAGGUGGCAUUAUCAAUAAAUAUGUUAGUCAUCAGGUGUGGCCCUAGGAUUAUUUGAGAUUCUGGUUAUAAUGCAGACUCCUGGGACCUUCAAAUGGACCACACCAAUGUCAGUGUGAGUAGAACCUGGGAAUCUGCAUGCCAAACAAGAUUUUUAGGCAAUUGCUGUCCACACACCAGGAUGAGAAUCCCUGAUGGGGUCAAUCUGAGCACCAAGUGCAAGAUCCUGGGAGCAUAUCCACCUCACUGAAGCAGCUCCAGGCUGGCUGGGAUGCCCAGCACUUCCAGGCAAUUGGCUAACAGACUUUUCCCUGGAGGAUAAUUAAAGCAUUCUCCAUCCCUCAUCCUCCUUUAGUCCCUUCCAAAUUAGAAGUUUGGGGAUACUCCAUGGCAGGUUCCUCUCAGGUUUCUUGCCUUUUAUCUUUAGGCUUGAAUCUCACUCAAACCUCUCAGUUUCAGGUUGCAGGUUUAGUUUUGGUUAUGGGUGGUGAGUCACAGAAAGCAUGGGGUAUUUUUAUCUGCAACUUUUGGUGUGCUCUAGGACUAUGAUCUGUGCAUUUGGGCCAAAGGGAUCCUCUUUACAUGAUUUGUCAGAAGAGAGAAAACUUGAUAGCACAGGGGCCACUGUCAUGCAUCAAUCUACAUCAAAAGAACCCGUGCUUCCGGCCCGCCCCCUGCUCACUGCCUGAAGCCUUCACAAGCCUCAGACCACGCUCAGCCAAAGGAAAUGUGCGGAAGUGUAUUUUUCAUAGGAAUUAACUCUUGCAGCCAAACAGGCACAUCACGUUCUUUUAGAUCUGUUACCCUCCUAAAUGGCCAUGGUGUUUUUCUCAUCCACAGUGGUGUUCUGUUUUGUUAUAACUUUGCAAAUUCAAUGAAUGUUUUGUAGGUAAUAAAAGAAAGCCCAUGGAAUCUUCACUGCUUUAUUAAAAAAAAAAGAAAGAAAAUCUGUGGCCAAAGAAAAAAAUGUGACUGAAUUUUUAUUUAUGGUCAAUAAGCCCAGAUGAAUAUGUGGUAGACGUUGUGAACACUGCUACAAAGCAAAUCACCGUGUCAGGAGAAAUAUUAUUAAAUUCUAUAAUUUCCGUUUCUGAAAGUGGUUUCUCUGUGUGGAGUUGGAGAAAGAAAAUUACAUUCAAUAUUCACCUUAACUGAAAAGCAGCUGAGUGUGGUGGCUGAUAUCCUUUAAAUAGCAGAUCUGUGACCUCAUUCCUGUUCUCUCCCUGGCCUAGCUGUUUCCAGUUUCCAGUUGAAUAGAAAAUUGUCAAUCAUCUGGCGAAUGUGGGCAUAUAGGCCAGCUUAUUUGGGUAGUUCUGUCCCUGUCCUUGUUUUUCUGUAGGUCCUGUACCUGCAUUUAAAUGAAAGCAGCCUGUAGUCUAGGUCUGUUGCUUUAUGCCUAUAUGGCCCAGGUAAUUGCAGUUGUGUGGAAAUGGCCCAGUGUGACCUUGGAAAACUGCUUAACCUUUCGGAUCCUCAGGUUCUCCAUCUGUAAAGCGAAUACUGUAGCUGCCUCUCCUUCAUUUCAAUGGAAUGCUUUGAGAAUUGAUUAGAUAGUGUGCAUAAAGCAAGCUGACCUCCUCAAGAAGGAAUACAAUGUAUGAUUUUAUUUCUCCUCUCAAAGCUCUUAGACCAGGCCUCUCCAGUACAACGUGGUCAUUAUCUGUGCCUUUGGACUGCCUGGAGAGGAAAUUCACACCAUUCAGGGCAAAACAAUCCACUCCAGUUUCUAAAUGGUGGGGAUUGUCUUUCUAUGGAGCACAAAUUCAACAGAUGGUUGCCAACCUUCCACUUGAUUUUGUGGCUCUUUAAACUGUGUUCAUUAAAACUUCAGCUUGCGGACGGCUUUGUAGAGACUUGGAGGGAUAUGUGAAUGACCGUUUGUGAUAUAACAGAUAGAUACAGCCUGGGUUUUGGGUCUUCGAUUCUUAGAAGCAGUUGUUAAAUUAACAUGUAAAAUAACAAUCAGGAUCACUCUAUCAGUAAUUAGAAGGGGCUUAAUUCAUUUCUCACAUGUUUGUGUAUAAUCUUCUGUUGUCAACAUUUUGGAACUUCACUAAUAAAUGUAUUUUGCAGUAUUUGGGCACAAUCAUGUUUCAUGUUGAAUUUCAAGUUCCUUUUUUUCAGAAGACGGAACACAAACCUGAACCAAGGUUUUGGGGAAACAGAGACCAAGUCUGUUUCUGUUUUUGUUUUACAAUGUUUAGAGAUGUAUAAUGCCAUGCACUUUUGAUUUAAAUCUGCCAUAGUUUAUUUUUCCUUCCUUUCUCCCAUUCUUUUCUGAACAUGCACGCAUACAUGUAUUCACUAUUUAGCUUGUGAAGUUUUCAUUUAUUUAGCAAAUGCCCUGCUUUACGGAACAUUCUGACUGUUUCCUUGGACCAUUUUGCUGCAAGAAAUAAAUGUAUUCUUUAAAUGAUUUAUUUCUUUUUCUAUCAAC